rnacentral:rRNA from 1 species
CUGAUGUGAGAAGUUUUCGGACGGAUCUUUUCGGUGGAAAGCGGCGGACGGGUGAGUAACGCGUAGGCAACCUGCCUCACGGAGAGGGACAGCCUCGGGAAACCGGGAUUAAGACCUCAUGUUGCGGAGAAGUCACAUGGUUUUUCCGCGAAAGAUUUAUCGCCGUGAGAUGGGCCUGCGUCUGAUUAUGUUAGUUGGUGGGGUAACGGCUCACCAAGACUACGAUCAGUAGCCGACCUGAGAGGGUAAUCGGCCACAUUGGAACUGAGACACGGUCCAAACUCCUACGGGAGGCAGCAGUGGGGAAUAUUGCACAAUGGGGGAAACCCUGAUGCAGCAACGCCGCGUGAGCGAUGACGGCCCUAUGGGUUGUAAAGCUCUGAUCUGAGGGAAGAACAAAAUGACGGUACCUCAGGAGAAAGCCCCGGCUAACUACGUGCCAGCAGCCGCGGUAAUACGUAGGGGGCAAGCGUUAUCCGGAUUUAUUGGGCGUAAAGAGUGCGUAGGUGGCUGUCUAAGCGAGAGGUGAAAGGCAUCGGCUCAACCGGUGUAAGCCUUUCGAACUGGGCGGCUUGAGUGCAGGAGAGGAAAGCGGAACUCCUAGUGUAGCGGUGAAAUGCGUAGAUAUUAGGAAGAACACCGGUGGCGAAGGCGGCUUUCUGGACUGUAACUGACACUGAGGCACGAAAGCGUGGGGAGCAAACAGGAUUAGAUACCCUGGUAGUCCACGCCGUAAACGAUGAGCACUAGUUGUCGGGACUUAAUCGUCUCGUGCGAGUACGAUAGUGUCCCUGGGAU